UACAGAGGUCUCAAGCGUUGUUCGGAUUCAUUGGGCGUAAAGGGUGCGUAGGCGGCGGCGUAAGUCGGAUGUGAAAUCUCGAGGCUUAACCUAACCUAGCAUUCGAUACUGCCUGCUGAGGACUGGAGAGGAGAUGAUGACUGGUGUAGCGUGAAAUGCGUAGAUAAUCGUGAAGGAAGACCAGUGGCGAAGGCGGGAUCUGGACAGUUCCUGACGCUGAGGCACGAAGGCCAGGGGAGCAAAACGGGAU
rnacentral:rRNA from 1 species